rnacentral:rRNA from 1 species
GCUCAAAUUUGAAAUCUGGUACCUUCGGUGCCCGAGUUGUAAUUUGGAGAGGGCAACUUUGGGGCCGUUCCUUGUCUAUGUUCCUUGGAACAGGACGUCAUAGAGGGUGAGAAUCCCGUGUGGCGAGGAGUGCGGUUCUUUGUAAAGUGCCUUCGAAGAGUCGAGUUGUUUGGGAAUGCAGCUCUAAGUGGGUGGUAAAUUCCAUCUAAAGCUAAAUAUUGGCGAGAGACCGAUAGCGAACAAGUACAGUGAUGGAAAGAUGAAAAGAACUUUGAAAAGAGAGUGAAAAAGUACGUGAAAUUGUUGAAAGGGAAGGGCAUUUGAUCAGACAUGGUGUUUUGUGCCCUCUGCUCCUUGUGGGUAGGGGAAUCUCGCAUUUCACUGGGCCAGCAUCAGUUUUGGUGGCAGGAUAAAUCCAUAGGAAUGUAGCUUGCCUCGGUAAGUAUUAUAGCCUGUGGGAAUACUGCCAGCUGGGACUGAGGACUGCGACGUAAGUCAAGGAUGCUGGCAUAAUGGUUAUAUGCCGCCCGUCUUGAA